CCUGAGAAACCCAAAAGAUCGAAUGAGGAGAUUCAUCGUCAGCAUAUUUUGUAUAUGUGCAAGUUAUGAUGUGAGUUACUUUCGAGUAUUGCUUAUACAUGCUGGUACAUUUGAUUGCAAGAUAUUGUCGGCGUGCACUUCUCCUCUAGUAGGACAUCGUGACCCGUUGGGUGUUGGUUUACGACUUAAGGUGGAGACUUUAACAUUUUUAUAAUGUUGAAGACCCUUAAUGUUUUCUGACCUGCUACCCGACGGUACUCUUACGGUAUUUAGUCGCAUUUGUAUGCGUUCGUAUCCGUUGCAAGUGAGGUUAAUUUCUGGUAGUGCGGACUUUGUGCCGUCGCUGGAAUUAACCAGCUGUUGGCUAUACGGAAUUCUAGAACUGACUAAAAAUAAUUACCGGUCGACGAUGCUACUGCUUUGGGUACUUUCAGGACCCGUCUUGAAACACGGACCAAGGAGUCUAACAUGUACGCAAGUCAUUGGGAUUUUUUGAAAUUAAACCUAAAGGCGUAAUGAAAGUAAAGGUCAUCCUUGCGUUGACCGAGGGAGGAUAAACUGUGUUGAGAUAUAGUUUCGCACUCCCGGGGCGUCUCAUUCUCAUUGCGAGAAGAGGCGCACCUAG
rnacentral:rRNA from 1 species